GACGAACGCUGGCGGCGUGCUUAACACAUGCAAGUCGAACGGAAAGGCCUGCUUUCCCUUGUGGAUUGCGGGUACUCGAGUGGCGAACGGGUGAGUAACACGUGAGUGAUCUGCCCCCAACUUGGGUAUAAGCCUGGGAAACUGGGUCUAAUUCCCGAUAGGACUGCAGGGUGGUGCCUGUGGUGGAAAACGAUUUUCUAGUGGUUGGGGAUGAGCUCGCGGCCUAUCAGCUUGUUGGUGGGGUAAUGGCCUACCAAGGCGGCGACGGGUAGCCGGCCUGAGAGGGUGGACGGCCACAUUGGGACUGGGAUACGGCCCAGACUCCUACGGGAGGCAGCAGUGGGGAAUAGUGCACAAUGGGCGGAAGCCUGAUGCAGCGACGCCGCGUGGGGGAUGACGGCCUUCGGGGUGUAAACUCCUUUCGACCGCGAGGAAGCCACCUGGUUGGAAGGGUGGUGACGGUAGUGGUAGAAGAAGCACCGGCUAACUACGU
rnacentral:rRNA from 1 species